AGUUGGAUCAUGGCUCAGAUUGAACGGCUGGCGGCUGGCCUAACAACAUGCAAGUCCGAGCGGGAUGACGGGAGCUUGCUCCUUGAUUCAGCGGCGGACGGGUGAGUAAUGCCUAGGAAUCUGCCUGGUAGUGGGGGACAACGUUUCGAAAGGAACGCUAAUACCGCAUACGUCCUACGGGAGAAAGCAGGGGACCUUCGGGCCUUGCGCUAUCAGAUGAGGGUAGGUCGGAUUAGCUAGUUGGUGAGGUAAUGGCUC
rnacentral:rRNA from 1 species